rnacentral:rRNA from 1 species
CUCCCGCCGGCGACCGGCGCACGGGUGAGUAACACGUAUGAAACCUGCCCGUAGCAGGGGGAUAAGCGGAAGAAAUUCCGUCUAAUACCGCGUAACAACCCGAGGAGGCAUCUCCUCGGGUUUAAAGGAAGCGAUUCCGGCUACGGAUGGUCAUGCGUCGCAUUAGCUAGUUGGCGGGGUAACGGCCCACCAAGGCGACGAUGCGUAGGGGUUCUGAGAGGAAGGUCCCCCACACUGGUACUGAGACACGGACCAGACUCCUACGGGAGGCAGCA